rnacentral:rRNA from 1 species
UACGAAGGGGGCGAGCGUUGUUCGGAUUUACUGGGCGUAAAGGGCGCGCAGGCGGCGCAUUUUAUCAGGCGUGAAAGCCCCGGGCUUAACCUGGGAACUGCGUUUGAUACGGAUGGGCUAGAGUUCGGGAGAGGAGAGUGGAAUUCCCAGUGUAGAGGUGAAAUUCGUAGAUAUUGGGAAGAACACCGGUGGCGAAGGCGGCUCUCUGGACCGAGACUGACGCUGAGGCGCGAAAGCGUGGGGAGCAAACAGG